UACGUAGGGGGCAAGCGUUGUCCGGAUUUAUUGGGCGUAAAGAGCGUGUAGGCGGCUAAGCAGGUCAGCUGUGAAAACUCGAGGCUCAACCUCGAGACGUCGGUUGAAACCGCUUGGCUAGAGUCCGGAAGAGGAGAGUGGAAUUCCCGGUGUAGCGGUGAAAUGCGCAGAUAUCGGGAAGAACACCCGUGGCGAAGGCGGCUCUCUGGGACGGUACUGACGCUGAGACGCGAAAGCGUGGGGAGCGAACAGG
rnacentral:rRNA from 1 species